rnacentral:rRNA from 1 species
ACACACACAUCCGCCCGGGUACUACGAGCACAGCUUAAAACCCAAAGGACUUGGCGGUGUCUCAGACCCACCUAGAGGAGCCUGUUCUAGAACCGAUACCCCCCGUUGAACCUCACCACUUCUUGUUUUCCCCGCCUAUAUACCGCCGUCGUCAGCUUACCCUGUGAAGGUUUAAUAGUAAGCAAAAUGGGCCCACCCAAAAACGUCAGGCCGAGGUGUAGCGUACGAAGUGGAAAGAAAUGGGCUACAUUUUCUACAAUUAGAAUAUUACGAAUGAUGCAUUGAAAUUAUGCACCUGAAGGUGGAUUUAGUAGUAAAAAGCAAACAGAGUGUCCCUUUGAAUUAGGCUCUGAGACGCGCACACACCGCCCGUCACUCUCCCCACAAAAAUCAAAACAAUAUAUAAUAAAUCAACCACAAAUACGGGGAGGCAAGUCGUAACAUGGUAAGUGUACCGGAAGGUGCACUUGGAAUAAU